GAUAUGCUAGUAAGUAGAACUACUCCAUCCUUUGGAGCUUCUUGGUUUUUUUUUCAUGUGCUGUGUCAUUAUGAACAACCAGUUCAACAUAUGUGGUAAAAUUCUGCUCUCCUACAAAUUCAUGUAUCUUAGUCUCAGAUCAUAGAAGAACAAGCUGUUUAAUAUUUACCGAAUAUUGAGAAUGGAAAAGAGGCCUUUCAUUACAAGUCCAAACUUCAUUUUUAAUUAUAAACACUAAGAUGUCCUUAUCCCUGAUAAAAAGGAUAUAUAAAAAAAUAUAUUUAAAAAAAAAGAAAGCAAAGCUCAUAGUCAAACUAGGACCAUGCUAUUACUCUUACUAUUACUAGCUUAUCUAUUACUUCCUUACAUAUUACUUUAUUUGAAUAACAAUAAGUCUACAGCAGACAAACUGACAGGUUGCUUCUCACUUUCCUAGACUUCGACAAGAAAAAUUAUACCAAUGUAAAUGUAAGAAUCUAAUGAUCUUUAGAAGCACAGGAAGUGUACAUCUAAGCAGGAAAUGAAAGCUAAAUCAUUGUAAAUUCUUUGAGUUAUUUUCCUGUGACCUAAACAUUUUGUCCCAAGGCAAGCAAGAUAGUCAUCGUGGGUAAAGACACUCACCACCAAGUUUGAUGAAUGGUUCCCAGUCCCUGGACCCCACAAGGUAGGAGGAGAAACCAGUUCCUGCCGGUUGUCCUCUGUGCCAUGGCGUGCAUGGGCGUGCAUGGGCGUGUAAAAGUGAAAAGAAGUGCUGCUACAGAUUUGGUCUGUGUUGUUGUGUGGUGUGCUUGUAGUCAAAGUAACUCAAGAUGCAAAAUCGUCUUGGAUUCCAUUGGUUUUGUUAGGGUACAAGUUGUCAUCUUAGAGAAAUGUCACACAGCCAGAAGGAAGGAUCAGCAAAGAUGACAGGUUCUUUGUGAGACAAGCCGGUGUUUAACUCAGAAGUUAUUGUGUUCUCUUGAUACCUGCUCCAUCAUCUCUUCUUCCAUGGAAGAUUACUUCUCGCCCAUUUUUCUCUUUUGCAAAGUCUUCUCCCAUUUUUGCCUUUUAUUCCUGUUUGAUCCAGUUGGGUAAUAAAUUGCAGGACCAGAAAAUCAUCCACAGUCAGGUUUGGGGCGAAUCUACUGCAGGUUGUUUUUUUGUUUUAUAUAAAUUUAAGAGUAUAUUUUUCAGAGUUGGAGAGAUGGCUCACUGGUUAAAAGCCCUGAGGGCCCAGGUUCAAUUCCCAGCACCCACAUGGCAGCUCACAACUCUCUGUAACUCCAGUUCUGGGAAUCCUACACCAUCACAGAGACAUACAUGCAAGCAAAACACCAAUGUACAUAAAAAAAAAUAAUAAUAAAUAAUUCAUUUUUAAAAAUGUUUUCCAAAUUACUGAAGUAAUAUCCGGAUUGAUAUGUUCUUUGCCCAAAUCAAGUCAUGUUGUAGAUAUUCCAGAAAUGUUAUAGCCAUUCAAUAAGACCAGAAUCUGUAUAAUCACUGAUAAACACUGAAAAGAGAACUGUUAUACUAUAUAUGCAAUCUAAUUGACCGCAAUUUCAGAAAGUGACACAUAUAUCCUCUCAGUUCUAUAAUUACACUCCUAGUUUACAAAGUCUUUCAACUGAGUGUCUGUCCAUGCAUGCACACAUACAUGUACACUGAACUUACAAAAAGCCUUAUAAUGACUUACGUUGACAUUCACUAUCUUACUGGUAACUAUUUACUCUUUUGAAAAAAAUCACUAUGAAAUUUAAAGUUGAUUUGAAAAUAUUUUCAUAUAGAAAACUAAUAAUGUAACUAAGAAUGCUAUUUGAAUAACAUAACAGAUGACACAGUUUUCCUAAACCCUAAAAGUAACAAGAUAUAUUAGAAAAAAAGGGAAAAUCAAUGAGAUUCUAUUCCUAGAAUUGUGAUUAUUUCCACUCAGCAUUUGUAAAUAUAAUGAAGAUAUACAAAAGCUGUUUCAUAUCCUUCAGGGAUAUGUUUGCCUUUCUACUUUAUCCCUGCCUUUAAUCAUCAGAACUUUGUGAACACAGGUGAACUUUCAUUUUAAAAUGUUUGAACUUCUGUACCUUGUAUAAGUUAGCAGAAUCUGGAUUAAAAAAAAAAAGAAACUAAAUUAAUUUCAUUUCUGCUGGUUUCACUUUACUGUAUAUUUGUAUUAUUAAAAGUAGGGUUAAUAUUGUUGACUAUGCGUAACUGCUAAAUUAUAUCAGUGAAAUCAUUACAUUGAAACUGUAUCCAAAUGAUUUCUCAGGCUUUGUUUGAAGUGUAAACUCCAGCCCCAUUAUGACCAAAUUAGACUUAAAGAUAGUGAAUGAAUACUAAUGAAGAAAGCUGCUCUUGUUGCACUGUUCUAAAUAAUAGAAUAUAUAUUUGGUAUGGUUGGUGAAAUAGCUUUUGUUAUUAUUUAAGUUACAAUUUCUUAUUGCAAAUUUAAUAAUGAAUUCUCCAAAGGAAUGGGAUGAAUGGAGUUAUAUUUGAAAGAAUUGGAAGAAAAGUAUUACAAUCUGCUUCUAAACUAUUUGUUUUAUUACAAUGACAUUUAUUUCUAUAAUUGGCCAAUUGAUGGAUCUUUCAGGUAUCCAGAAUUAUGUCUGCGUAAAAUAAAUUAUAGUUAUAUUAAGAGCCUUAAAGUGGGGAAAAAGGACUCUUUUGACUGCCUUAACAUAUGACAAGCUCUCUUUUCCAGACAUACUAAUUUCUUUAGGGUCUGUUAAAUAAGUAAUGCCUUAAGAGUGUGCUAAUGAUCUGAAGAGUAGAGCUUACAGGGUCUUCUAGAGCUUUUAAUUCUACAUAAUGAAUUUAAGUGUUAGGUAUUAUACCUGAUUGCACAUUAAUAAUUUG
rnacentral:lncRNA from 1 species